rnacentral:lncRNA from 1 species
CCAAAUUACAACUCAACUACAGCGAUCAAAGAAUAGACAAUCAAAUAUAAAAUCUAUACAAAAGUCGAACAAUAUAUGCAUAAAAACGUCGCAAUACAACUCUAAUGUCGACGAUUACUCAUCCAAAUUCCAAAUUUAUCGAUUACACCAAAAAUUCCCAAUUUAAUCUUCAAACCCAAACCCUAAUUUCAAAGAGAUGAAUAAUAACAAGGGAAAACAGACUAACCUUGACGAAUCCAUGCCGGAAUCUUC